rnacentral:piRNA from 1 species
UGAGUCAGAGACCUAGUGAGUUCCUUGGACUC